rnacentral:rRNA from 1 species
CGCAUCUGUGCAUGCAGCAUAUCAAUAAGGGAGGAAAAGAAACUAACAAGGAUUCCCUCAGUAACGGCGAGUGAAGCGGGAAGAGCUCAAAUUUGAAAUCUUGAAAGGUCACCUUUCACGAAUUGUAGUUUAAAGAAGUGUUCUCUGUUACGAUCGUAAUAUAAGUUCUUUGGAAUAGGACAUCACAGAGGGUGAGAAUCCCGUCUAUGAUUGCGAUUUGUAGCUUUGUGAUACACUUUCAAAGAGUCGGGUUGUUUGGGAAUGCAGCCCAAAGCGGGAGGUAAAUUUCUUCUAAGGCUAAAUAUUGGCGAGAGACCGAUAGCGAACAAGUACCGUGAGGGAAAGAUGAGAAGAACUUUGAAAAGAGAGUUAAAUAGUACGUGAAAUUGUCAAAAGGGAAGCGUUUAACACCAGUGUUGUUUUCUGAAAAUCAACCUCUGUUAGCUUUAUGCAUGUUUGUUUAGACCUAAUCAGCUAUCUUGCAUGUUCUAUUGUUUGCAGUGGUGCACUUUUCAGUUUACAGGUCAACAUCAGUUUUUUUUACCGUAAAAAAGUUAAAGAAAGGUAGCUCAUGGCUCCGGUCGUGAGUGUUAUAGUCUUUUUCCUAUGCGGUAGGAGAGACUGAGGUCUGCAGUGUAGGCUAUUUGGCUAGAUACUCAGGUGCUAUGUGAUACCAUUUCAUAAACAACUUGUUGAUUAUGUUUUGUCUAUUGCAUACUCGCUUGUACUAUCAUACCUACGCUUAGGAUGUUGAAGUCAUCGUAUCGCGC